rnacentral:rRNA from 1 species
UACGUAGGGUGCAAGCGUUGUCCGGAAUUAUUGGGCGUAAAGAGCUCGUAGGCGGUUUGUCGCGUCUGCUGUGAAAUCCCGAGGCUCAACCUCGGGUCUGCAGUGGGUGCGGGCAGACUAGAGUGCGGUAGGGGAGAUUGGAACUCCUGGUGUAGCGGUGGAAUGCGCAGAUAUCAGGAAGAACACCGAUGGCGAAGGCAGAUCUCUGGGCCGUAACUGACGCUGAGGAGCGAAAGCAUGGGGAGCGAACAGG